rnacentral:rRNA from 1 species
AUCCUACGGGAGGCAGCAGUGGGGAAUAUUGGGCAAUGGGCGCAAGCCUGACCCAGCAACGCCGCGUAAAGGAAGAAGGCUUUCGGGUUGUAAACUUCUUUUCUCAGGGACGAAGCAAGUGACGGUACCUGAGGAAUAAGCCACGGCUAACUACGUGCCAGCAGCCGCGGUAAUACGUAGGUGGCAAGCGUUAUCCGGAUUUACUGGGUGUAAAGGGCGUGUAGGCGGGAAAGUAAGUCAGAUGUGAAGACCACGGGCUCAACCUGUGGCCUGCAUUUGAAACUGUUUUUCUUGAGUACUGGAGG